rnacentral:rRNA from 1 species
UACGUAGGGUCCGAGCGUUGUCCGGAAUUAUUGGGCGUAAAGAGCUCGUAGGUGGUGUGUCGCGUCGGAUGUGAAAGCCCGGGGCUUAACCCCGGGUCUGCAUUCGGUACGGGCAUGCUGGAGUUCGGUAGGGGAGACUGGAAUUCCUGGUGUAGCGGUGAAAUGCGCAGAUAUCAGGAGGAACACCGGUGGCGAAGGCGGGUCUCUGGGCCGAUACUGACGCUGAGGCACGAAAGCGUGGGGAGCAAACAGG